CUCUAUCUGCAGGCGCCUUGUGGACCAAUGCGCACCAAUUAAAUGACGUGGCAGGUAAAACGAUGCGUUUGGCAUAGAAUUGAGAAGCUAAGUGACAUGGGGCGAGCGGGAAAUAUACUGGAAAGAAAAGUAAAGUCCCUCUUCUGUCUCUGUCUGUCUCUCUCCCUCUCCAAUGUAAUUUCCGUACUCUCCUUCACUUCAUCUUCUAUCUCUUUCUCUCCCAUCUGAUUUCAGCAUGUAGCAGACACAUGUUUCAUCUUUUUCCCUUCAUGUUCAAGAUUUGUGGGAGAGAUAUUUGAAGGCUUCUUUUUCGUUGAGGAAUUGUGAUUGUUAAGAUUCAACAGGUCUGAAACUUCCAAGAAAUCCAACAUGGUUGAGAAGUCACUUUCUCUUGAUGUUGUUAUCCAAGAAGUUGUUGAUCUGGCUUGUGCUUAAAUCAUCUUCGCUACAUACUCUCUGUCAAUAUAUAUACCCACCCAAUUCAUAACGCAUAAAGAGAGGUUAAAGAAAGAUUGAGAAGAAAAGAUUGAGAAGCAAAAACAAUAUUCAGUCAGAACAAAGCUUCGAAACAGAGCACCCCCAACGCUGCUCCUCUGUUCAAGCCACCCGAAAACAGAGUUUCCUACCCGUGAGCCACUUCCUCCGUCGACCACCAUCAUCGCUGAGCCCUUCCGCUGCCUCGGUAAGUACACGCCGAGCUCCCUUCAUUUUUCUCUCAAUCCGCUCUCUCCAAUCUCUCUUUCUCUCUCAUCACCCUCUCUCACUCCCAUGCUUAGCCGCUCAGAUUGACGACAGUGUCUCCGCACCACUGCGAUCCGCUGUCAGAUGCUAGCCGUCGCCCAUCCAUAGCUCCGCCAUGCCAUGUUCUGUCGGGUCUCUGUUAUGAGUUUCAUUCUGAGGUAAGCUUAGCGUGUACAACGACGUGGGGAAGUCCUGGCCCUUCGGCAUAGACCCGGUUGACGAAAUGAAGAAAGGGAAGUCUGUCUCCCCACUGUUCCGUAAGGAAAGGGAAGAGACCACCAAAUCCAAAGCUUCUGAGUAUACAUCGGCUUUGAUGGAUUUUGAAAGAAUUUUCAUUCAAUGAUUUUUCUUUAUUUUUUUCUCUCAUAAACACGAGAAAAGUAAUCGAAGAGUUAUGAGCUUGUGCUUUUAA